UGCCAGCAGCCGCGGUAAAACGGAGGGGGUUAGCGUUGUUCGGAAUUACUGGGCGUAAAGCGCACGUAGGCGGAUUGGAAAGUUGGGGGUGAAAUCCCGGGGCUCAACCCUGGAACUGCCUUUAAUACUGCUAGUCUUGAGUUCGAGAGAGGUGAGUGGAAUUCCAAGUGUAGAGGUGAAAUUCGUAGAUAUUGGAAAGAAUACCAGUGGCGAAGGCGGCUCACUGGCUCGAUACUGACGCUGAGGUGCGAAAGUGUGGGGAGCAAACAGGAUUAGAUA
rnacentral:rRNA from 1 species